CAUUGAACGGACUCAAUAGUUACUAGGAUGGUAGCUACUAAGGAAAGACAAUGGACUCCUCUAGGAUAGAGGCAAGGAACAAACAUCAGGAUGAUGUCAAGGACACCGCUCAAGGAACAAGUGAGCACGCUAAUCAGGAAGGUUAGCAGAUCAGGAUAAGAUCAAGGACACCGCUAGGAAGGCGAUGAAAAGGAUUACGCUGAAGGACACAGCGCUGCUAUCAAGGAUUUGAUGCAUGGAGCACUUUUAGUAGCCGGAUUGCUGCGAGUAAGACUACGGCCCCGAUACGCAAGUAUCGGGGCUUUUCUUAUUU
rnacentral:other from 1 species